UCCUGCUUACAGAGGAGGCCAAUCUGGUUUCGCCUGCUGCCAGUGGAAUAACUCUGAUCCUAACCUCACCUCCCGGGGCCAGGAGUUGGCUCUUCACUCCGCUUUGAGAUGCCGUUCACCCUCCUGCCAAGGGGCCCCUAGGCUCUGGGAUAGAUCAGAUGAGCAUGAGACGUCCUUGAGGAACCAGCCAACAGAGCAAGGUCAAAACUUCAGUACAGAAACGUCUCGUGGCUUCUCCAAGAUCAAGUUCAGACUCCUCAGCCUGGAAUUGAAGACUUUUCUCGAUCUGGCCUCAAGCUGCUGCCAGAUUCCUGGACCGCUGGAUGCUGACCCAGCUCUCCGAGGCCUGGCUCUACGGCCGAGAUGACAGCCUGUGUACCUGCACCUCCGUCACCCAGGUGGCCCGACUAUACUCUCUCAGCCCAUGAAGCCAGAGGAGCUGACCUGACACACCCUCCCCAGUCUCAUCCUCUGCUCACAUCCUGCCCUGCGCCUCUCUGAGCCCACCCGCUCGGACCUGCCCACUUCCCUCGUGGCCCAGAAGCUCCUCAACGGCAGUGCCUCUUCCCCUCCUUGUGACUGCCCGGGCUCAGCACACAGUGGUCUCUCAAUCGAUAUUCAUUGCUAUGAGUUGGGUUGAACUGAUUUAAAGACACUUCUUCCCCAGA